UAAGAAACCGAAACGCAAGAACUAUGGCACUUGCUGGGCACCGCCUUAUCUCAAGCUCCUCAUCAUCCACUGUAACUGCCAUUUCAUCGUUCCCUCCAAAACCAAAACCCCCAAUUUCAAAUCACAACUUCUCCUCCAACCAUGAAAUUCCAAACUUCUUACACAGUCGCAGAGACGUUGCUUUGCUCUCCUUCAUCGCUCUAAUUCCUUCUCUUUCGCGACCCGACCCGGCAUUCGGACUCUCCUUCGGCAUUUCAGGACCAAAGGAUUGGCUCCGAGAACAGAAGAAGAAGGCCUCCAGGUUCCUCUUGGCCCCAAUUGACGCCUCUAGAGAGAGCCUCCUCACUGCUCAUCGAAUACUCACGGCUACCGAUUCUAAUAGUACAAAUGAAGAAAUAGAGGAGGUUCAGAGACUAUUUAAAUCUGCUGCGAGGGAUUGCGUUCCAGAAGACAGGAAUUCAUUUGUUGCAUUUCAAGCCAAUACAGGGGUUGAGGUUUGCACAUUCCGUCUGGUUGUAAAGAAUGCGGCGUCGUUGCUUGGUGAUAAGGAUCCUGUAAAAUUGGAAGCUGAAUCCAUGCUAAAUGAUCUUAUAAGAUCAUUCACUUCUCUUAAUGUUCUGGUAAAUGAGACUGACGUUCAAUUUGCCUCUGAAAGAAAGAAGGUUGCAGAUUCUCUCAUGGAUACCAUAUCAUCCCUAGACAAAUUUGAGCAGGGAAUUAAGGACUGCCUUGAAGCUUGACCAAUAUGUAUUUUGUUUUCCUUGCAGAACAAAACUAUCUUGUGGAUGUCAUGUUUGAAAUUCUGCAGACGCAUGUUUAUUCCAGAUUCAGAAAUCUCUCUUUGCUCUUUCUGUUUGGUGUCUUGAUUUUUCCUCUGUCAUGUUCUUUGACCUUAUUUUGGUAAUCAGAUGUUGCUACACCAACUGGCAGCGAAGUGUUCCAUCAUCUGGCUGUGUUUGUACUGACCUACAUAAGCUGCGCAGCUAGUUGGAGAUAUUUAGUGAACAUCAGCUGGCCAUCGAUGGAAUAGUUUGCUUUGGUGAACCAGAAGCCUCAACCAAAUACAAGCGACAACAUGGUGUUCCAUCAUCUGGGUGGGUAUAUACUGACCUAGGCAAGCUGCGGAGCUUGUUGAACAGAUUUAAGGGAUCGUGCAUGAGCCCAAAAUGAGCAUCUGGAUCACCAAUUUGUGAAAGUUUAACGUAAGAAAAGCCAAGAGAUGGCAGGAGAUGAUCAGGCCAAUCGCUGUAGAAAUGGAAGAUGGAACUGGAGAGACUGGUUGAUGGUUUGUUCAUAAAAUCUGCCAAGAGCACUGUGUUAGUAAGCGAGCACUUGUCUACUAUGAUUUCAAGUACUUGUGUGGCCUCAGAGUGGGAUAAGUAGUAGAGGAUGCCUUCCAGAACCCACACUGUGUUCCUCUCUGGCACAAACCCUGAUAUUUGAAGUUUUUCGAGCCAGUCAUUGCCUCUGAUAUCAGCCGCCACUCUGGUUAUGGAUUUUGCUGUCAUCGUUAGAUACUGGUGAUCGUUUGUAGAAUCCAUCGCUGCUUGCAGAAGAGUGGCUUUAAUUUGCAGGACUUCAGGAAAAUCAACUUCGAACACAUUGCUUUCCUUCAAGCAACUCAAUCG